GUGGGGAAUAUUGGGCAAUGGGCGAAAGCCUGACCCAGCAACGCCGCGUGAGGGAAGAAGGUUUUCGGAUCGUAAACCUCUGUCCUUAGUGAAGAGAAAGAGACGGUAGCUAAGGAGGAAGCCCCGGCUAACUACGUGCCAGCAGCCGCGGUAAUACGUAGGGGGCGAGCGUUGUCCGGAAUGAUUGGGCGUAAAGGGCGCGUAGGCGGCCUGUUAAGUCCGGAGUGAAAUUCCUGCUUUCAAGGUAGGAAGUGCUUUGGAAACUGGCGGGCUGGAGUGCAGGAGAGGUUAGCGGAAUUCCCGGUGUAGCGGUGAAAUGCGUAGAGAUCGGGAGGAACACCAGUGGCGAAGGCGGCUAACUGGACUGUAACUGACGCUGAGGCGCGAAAGUGUGGGGAGCAAACAGGAUUAGAUACCCCAGUAGUCC
rnacentral:rRNA from 1 species